rnacentral:rRNA from 1 species
UACGUAGGUGACCAGCGUUGUCCGGAUUUACUGGGCGUAAAGAGCGCGCAGGCGGUCGUUCAAGUCGAGUGUGAAAGCCCCCGGCUCAACUGGGGAGGGUCACUCGAUACUGAUCGACUUGAAGGCAGGAGAGGGAAGCGGAAUUCCCGGUGUAGUGGUGAAAUGCGUAGAUAUCGGGAGGAACACCAGUGGCGAAGGCGGGUCUCUGGGCCGAUACUGACGCUGAGACGCGAAAGCGUGGGGAGCGAACGA